GAUGAACGCUAGCGAUAGGCUUAACACAUGCAAGUCGAGGGGCAGCAUGGUCUUAGCUUGCUAAGACUGAUGGCGACCGGCGCACGGGUGCGUAACGCGUAUGCAACUUGCCUCACAGAGGGGGAUAACCCGUCGAAAGACGGACUAAUACCGCGUACACUUGGGAUAGGGCAUCCUGACCCAAGGAAAUGAAAUUCGCUGUGAGAUAGGCAUGCGUCCCAUUAGCUAGUUGGUGAGGUAACGGCUCACCAAGGCGACGAUGGGUAGGGGAACUGAGAGGUCGAACCCCCACACUGGUACUGAGACACGGACCAGACGCCUACGGGAGGCAGCAGUGAGGAAUAUUGGUCAAUGGGCGAGAGCCUGAACCAGCCAAGUCGCGUGAAGGAUGACUGUCUUAUGGAUUGUAAACUUCUUUUAUACGGGAAUAACAAGAGUCACGUGUGGCUCCCUGCAUGUACCGUAUGAAUAAGCAUCGGCUAACUCCGUG
rnacentral:rRNA from 1 species